AUUAUAAUUAUAAAAUGACCAUUAUGGAUAUAGGUUUUAUAGAAUUUACAAUAUACCAUUCUUUAUAAUAAAAUCCUAUAAUGACAAAAAAGUAAUAACAUAAUUAUAAAAAACACUAAAAAGAAAAAAUGUCUACAAAAAAAAGGAAGAAAUGACUUUCUUCCUUCUCUGUGCGACUUUCUUCUCCGUUCGAAGAAAGCCUAGCAAAAAAAUUCACUUUACCAGCCGGCAGCCACUGACUCUGACUGAUUUAGAUCUACACCCUCACUCCGUUCGUCGCCGACGCCGUUGCUCGCCGCAUCUGUGAGACUCCAUCGCCAUCGCCAUCGCCAUCGCCUUAACAAGUCCCAAGUCCCAAGUCCCAAAUCGAAGCUGCUCUCUGCCUCUCCGGCCUCCGCCAGUCCGCCGCGCUCUACGUCUCCUGUCGGCUGUGUCCUGCCGUGCUGGUUCAUCGCUGCCGAGUGUCGAAGACGAAGCACCAAGAUCUCACUAGUUCAUCGCUGGUUCAUCACUGCUCAUCUCUGGCUCACUUAGGUAAGUGCUCCUCUGUUUUUGGCUCUGUGUCUCUGGCAUUAAAAUGGGCCAAGAUCGACUAGGAAACUUGUUAUCCUGAAUUGAUAAGGGGGCGAAAUCUCUCAGAGACCCAGAGAUUUCAAUCCAUCUGCCAUUAUCCUAUUACUCUCGGCCAAAAAAAAUAAAAAAAUAAAAAAAAGAACCGACGGGAAACAGAGGAGGAGCAGCCGCCACUGCUGGGUCGUCGGAGUUUGCCCAUACCGCCACGGUUAUCCAAUUCUUCAUUUAAAACGCCCCGUGAGCUAUUCUUUGCUUUCCAACUUGAAUUUCAAUUUGAUAUUUUCUGGAACCAUCUUUUGCUAGUUUCUUCUUGAAUUUUUUUAAUCUGGAGUUAUUUACAAUUUUCAUGGCUGAGUAUACUCUUUGGCCUUUGUUGGACCGAAAUCGUAUUUUGAUUACAAGUUUUGGGUCUUUCUUUCGUUGGAAUUUGAUGGGAUCUUUAGAAUUUUCGUAUGCCCUUCUACUGUUUGAAGAAAUGCCUAAACGAGAACUUGAAAUAAAGAGACAAAUCUCUUGUAUCUGUGCUCGUGGGGAGCAGCUCCUAUCAGUCCAACGCUGAUAGGAGCCCGUGAGUUCGGCGGAAAUCCAUCAAAGACCCAGAGAUUUGCUAGUAAUAGUAUACGUCAUAUGAGGCAUCUGCGGAUUUCUAAGUACUUCAAUUCUGUGGGCGCUCAAGAAGCGCCAAAUACCUGAUGCAGAUUUAGGAAUCGUGCAAUAUUUAUGUAAAUAAUUUUAAUUUGUGCUCUUAAAAAAAUCAGACUUGGGAUAAUGGUGUGCAAAAAUAUAGCUAAGACUGACUUCAAAAUCCUUUGUGUUAUGAUUUGACCAACUAGGUGUGAUGAAUUUGCCCAAAUUCGGAUUUGAGCAACCUCACAUGCUUGUUUGAGAUAAUUGUUUGUCUCUCAAUUUGGUGGCUCAGCUCAUGUUUUGCUGAGUUUUGAAAUUUUGUGGGGAAUUUUGGUUAGUUUGGGUACUUUUGCAGCACACUUAGGAACUAUGAUUCGAGGAAUUAGAAUCAUCCAUAUUUUCUGCUCUUGUGGGCACCUACCGUUUGGUGGGUAAUUGCUGAAUUUGAAAGUUUCAUGUCAAGCAAUCCAGCAAGUGGGAAUUUCCCUUUUUUCUUCUCUAUUCUUCUUUGUGGUGAAUCUGAUUUUUAGGGGUGUUAAAGAUGCUAACUGUGGGAGGUAGAAUGUGGAUACUUUUGGUUGUAUUUGUAUUGAUGAAUCAUGGAUUUUAUGCCUCAUUUACUCCAGCUGAUAGCUACUUGCUUGCCUUUGAAUCUUCCCAAAACGUCACCUUUGAUCUGGUUUUUUGGUCAAAUCGAGUCAAAAAGCUUGAUAAGACUCGACUUGAUAAGGCUCGAUUAAAGAUCGAGCCUUAUCGAGUCGAGUCUCGAGCCUAAAUGAAAUUCUUCGAGUCGAUCUUCGGGCUCGAUCGAGCUCGAGUCGAGCUCGAGCUUCUGUGUGUAUGAGUCGAGUCGAGCUCGAGUAUAGCGAUACUCGAGCUCGACUUGACUCGAUUACAUCCCUAGAUAAAAGUACACUUUCUUGGCAAGUCUUAUUUUGAUUAUUUGCAGAAUUUGACACAUGCAUAAUGUUGUCCUUGUUUUCCUCGUACUUAACUGGUGCCCAUUCAUUCAGCACUACUACUACCAAACCAUUAGGUUUUAUUAUUCCAUUUUAGUGCUAGUCUGAGUACUCAUUUAAAAAAAAAUGGAAAGAUUAAUUCAGAAUAUUUUGACAACAAUACUUUUUGAGGACUCAAGACCAUUUUUUUUUUCUUUUUCUUUUUUCUCUACGAGGAGUUGAGGUAUGGUGCUUUCCACAUAUAAUAUUGAUAGCUCCAAAAGCAGACUCCAUCGCCGCACUCUUUUUUUUGGUUUAUUGUUAUCAUUUAUACGUAUUCCUAUUUUUACUCUAAUCUAUACUAAAAGGGUGAUUCAGCAGGGUCACGAGAAGUCAAUUAGGAUUGAAUCAUCAUAAGAUCGUACGAAUGCAAGAGACGCUCACAUGGAUCUAAGAAAAAUCACAUUAAGUAGCAAUUUUUUAUGGAAUAUAAGAUUUGAACUUUUGAUCUCCCACCUCACGAAGACAUGUAUUGGCCACCACAAGAUCCUUUUCGGACCAAAUUAAUUCGCCUAAUUCACAAGGCACUAAAGCGCUUCCCUUUUUUUCCCCCCCCUAAUUGAACUUCAACACUCAUAGAGACCGGACCGUGGUUUAAUUCCAACAUAUACGGGAACAAAGAAUACUCAGAAAAAAAAAGAAAGAUUUCCAAUACAUCUAAUAUAACCAACUAUUACAACCCAUAUACUGGAAUAUAUAACUCAAGGGACAAAUUUAAUUAGUCUCCAUGAACUUUUAUUUGAGACUCCCAAACAGCAACACUUGAUGAGGGCCAAAACAUAUUUACUUCACAAGUAAUAUUUGAUGGGCAAAUGUUGUUCUCACUUCUCAUCUCAGAGGAUAAAGACAUAAAUGGAGAUCACAUACGAAUUUUACUGCAUCUGUUACCUGGAAACGAUGUUGAUAGGCUGAUCAUCUUUGUUUCAAAUUCGUAGGUAAUUGCUUGCCGUGUUACAAAUGAAUUGUCUUUGUUCAGAUUUAAGGGGUCGAUCAAACUCAACCUAUGGAACCCUCAUGGGGCAUGCCAAUCUGACAAGACGUGGCAUUAUCAUAUUUGGUAUAUCUGAACUCGAUAAGCUUGAAAUUUUAAGGAUCUAGAAUUAGAUAUCCAAUAAAUUUCAUCAUUGAAUGUGUGUUGGUUUCAAGGGCUUUACUUAUAAACGUGGUACUUUUAUUGGGGGACUAAUUUAGAAUCAUGAGGUGGUUAUAUUGUUAUUUCUCAUUUCUUAUUGAUCAAAAUGGCAAUUAAUUCUAG
rnacentral:lncRNA from 1 species